UACGUAGGUGGCAAGCGUUGUCCGGAUUUACUGGGCGUAAAGAGCGCGCAGGCGGUCGUUCAAGUCGGGGGGGAAAGCCCCCGGCUCAACUGGGGAGGGUCACGCGAUACUGAUCGACUCGAAGGCAGGAGAGGGUAGUGGAAUUCCCGGUGUAGUGGUGAAAUGCGUAGAUAUCGGGAGGAACACCAGUGGCGAAGGCGACUACCUGGCCUGUUCUUGACGCUGAGGCGCGAAAGCUAGGGGAGCAAACGGG
rnacentral:rRNA from 1 species